AAAUCACUGUUCACAAACUUAGAGAGAGGAAAACCUUGUCUGUUCAACUAUUCCCAUAUGAGGAGAGAGAAAGCUUCAUCUCGUUGAUUUUUCUUCAUUUUCGUUCAAUUUCUGGUUUCGUAGCUGCGAUUUGUGAUUUUCUCUGUUCUUCUUCGACAUUUGGUUUCGUAGCUGCGACUUGUCAUUCUCGAUUCUUCUUCUAUUUCGCCAACAUAUUGUAAGUUCUUUUUCAUUUCUCCUUCUUUUCGUUCAAUUUGUUCAUAAUUUGAUGUUCUGU